UACGUAGGGUGCGAGCGUUGUCCGGAAUUAUUGGGCGUAAAGAGCUCGUAGGCGGUCUGUCGCGUCGAAUGUGAAAGCCCGGGGCUCAACUCCGGGCUUGCAUUCGAUACGGGCAGGCUAGAGUUCGGUAGGGGAGUCUGGAAUUCCUGGUGUAGCGGUGAAAUGCGCAGAUAUCAGGAGGAACACCGGUGGCGAAGGCGGGACUCUGGGCCGAUACUGACGCUGAGGAGCGAAAGCGUGGGGAGCGAACAGG
rnacentral:rRNA from 1 species